rnacentral:rRNA from 1 species
AUUGAACGCUGGCGGCAAGCCUAACACAUGCAAGUCGAACGAGUGGCGGACGGGUGAGUAAUGUCUGGGAAACUGCCUGAUGGAGGGGGAUAACUACUGGAAACGGUAGCUAAUACCGCAUACCAUCGGAUGUGCCCAGAUGGGAUUAGCUAGUAGGUGGGGUAAAGGCUCACCUAGGCGACGAUCCCUAGCUGGUCUGAUAGGAUGACCAGCAACACUGGAACUGAGACACGGUCCAUACUCCUACGGGAGGCAGCAGUGGUGAAUAUUGCACAAUGGGCGCAAGCCUGAUGCAGCCAUGCCGCGUGUAUGAAGAAGGACUUCGGGUUGUAAAGUACUUUCAGCGGGGAGGCGUUACCCGCAGAAGAAGCACCGUCUAACUCCGUGCCAGCAGCCGCGGUAAUUC